rnacentral:rRNA from 1 species
GAUGAACGCUGGCGGCGUGCCUAAUACAUGCAAGUCGGGCGAACGGACGAGAAGCUUGCUUCUCUGAUGUUAGCGGCGGACGGGUGAGUAACACGUGGAUAACCUACCUAUAAGACUGGGAUAACUUCGGGAAACCGGAGCUAAUACCGGAUAAUAUUUUGAACCGCAUGGUUCAAAAGUGAAAGACGGUCUUGCUGUCACUUAUAGAUGGAUCCGCGCUGCAUUAGCUAGUUGGUAAGGUAACGGCUUACCAAGGCGACGAUGCAUAGCCGACCUGAGAGGGUGAUCGGCCACACUGGAACUGAGACACGGUCCAGACUCCUACGGGAGGCAGCAGUAGGGAAUCUUCCGCAAUGGGCGAAAGCCUGACGGAGCAACGCCGCGUGAGUGAUGAAGGUCUUCGGAUCGUAAAACUCUGUUAUUAGGGAAGAACAUAUGUGUAAGUAACUGUGCACAUCUUGACGGUACCUAAUCAGAAAGCCACGGCUAACUACGUG